UGAAGACAACUCCCACCAUGCACCCCGAUGCACAGCUUCGCAGGCCACUCCCACUGAUCUAGAUCUCCGCCUAUCAGAGACCUUGCGGUUCCGUCUACCCAGCUGGUACCGCCAGCUGAUUACCGACAGGUGGAAAAUCAAUUCAAACCACAUUUCUAGUGAACUCUGGUGAAGUCAUUAGCAAAUUACCCCUCGUUUGUACUUCUUUCUUGUGAUAUGGUGAACUUUUGCAUGGUGCUGGGAUGUUCCAGCAGGACAAGGAAAGGACAAGCAGUUUGUUUUCAUCGCCUACCAAUAAGAGAUUUGCAACGUUGCAAACAGUGGCUACGGGCUAUCAAUCAUCCGAAUUUUGGAGAAGACACAGCCAUGGAAGGCAUAAAACUGAGGAAGGUUUGCAGCUUCCAUUUCAAGCCAGAAGAUUUCGAAUUAAAUGUCCUGGGAACGAAGAGAGCAGCUCUUUUGAACACCGCAAUUCAGUCAGUAUUUACAGUUCCAUAUGACGAUGAACAGCCCGGGAUGUCUACAACUAGCAGCGCUAAACGCAUGUGCCUGGAGACUCUAACAACGUCUGCUGCAGCUUUGUUCUCGUCGUCAGAAGAUGAGGAAGACCAGUCGGCGCCACUGAUGUCAACACCAAUGGAGAAUCCUCCCUCUGGCAGAGCACAGUUUUCACCAGGCCUCGAUACCAGUGCCAGUAGCCUUGAAGUUGGUGAAACCGACGAAAGCUAUCGGCCUGAAUCAACCCUCACCCCCACAUCGGCGUCGUCAUCAGAGGAUGAAGGUGUAAAGGACUGGCGUGAAAAGAAGAUUAUUGUCAAUGAAUCCAGCCUCAUGUCACUAUUCAAAUUUUGCCAGAUGUGUGGGAAACCGAUUUCAUCGAAGACCAUCUUUGAUUCUGGGGCACUUGGACAUCUUCACCUGACGUAAGGGGAAUGCCAGAGGUUAAUCUCCUUUCAGCUGCAGCUGUUCUGUUCAGGGGCGGCACAUACACAGAACUCUCAGACUGGUGCCAAACCAUGGGUCUCCAAAUGAUUGGGCAACUACGUUCUAUAACAUUCAGAAGGCGUACUUGCACCCGGCUAUUGAGAACGUCUAUAGGGAGAAAAGAACAGAACUCUUGGCAAGAGUUUAUUUGGAACAGGAAGAUGGGAAGAGGCCACAUUUGGCAGGUGAUGGCCGAUGUGACUCGCCAGGCUUCAAUGCAAAAUACUGCCACUACACCUUUUAUGUUGGACGACACAAAGGAGAUACUCCACACAGAACUGGUGCAGUGUAGAGAGGCCACCAGCUCCGGACCCAUGGAGCCACUGGGUUUUACGAGAGGAAUGACUGAGCUUCUGGACUUGGGCCUUGACGUGGAGGUGAUGGCCACGGGCCGCUCCUCGUCAAUACAAAAAAUAAUUCGGGAACAAUAUCCUAGUGUCCAGCACGAAUUUGACAUCUGGCACACAGCCAAAGGUUUCAGGAAAAAGAUGCUGAAGAAGGGGGAAAAAAAGGGGCCAUGAAAUCCUUCUUUCAUGGACCAGGUCAGUGUUGGAUUGUAAUCUUGCAGAAGUUCCUUUGAUUUACAAGGUUUCAAAUUACUAAUUUUAAUAUCGUUCACUGGUCUGUCGUCAACCACAUGUGGUUUACCUGUGCCACAUGUAAAGGUGACGUAGAGGUAAGGAAGCAAAAGCUGCGAUAAGCUCCGAUUUCUUUAUUUUUUUAGUAAUAGUAUUCUGCCCCCGCUUCCUUGUGUGUGUGGCGCGAACUAGCCUGUUGCGUCAGCUCGGCAGAUAGAUAACAGUUUUCCCUUUAUAAAGAAUGAAGCAGCUUGUUUCCUUUCCAAACUUUACUUGGUAAGCACUGUAAAACUGGACAGAUACAAAAUACAUCUUUCAGUAUAUCAUACAGACGUUCAAGAACAGUAUUCAUCUAUUGUCCGUUUAAAACGUUUCAUAACAAACAUUAACAUAUACGUUAGCUUAGGGCUAACGUCUAUUGGAAAUUACAUUAAGAUGCUCGCGAUUAGCAUAAAAGAUCAAAAUAUACAUUCUGAACUAAUUUAAUUCCAUGUCAAGAUAGCUGUAUGACAUCUACUUACAGGCAAACGUGUUUUCUGGCCAACCAAUACAAAAGAGAAAAAGUACGUGACUGUUGGUUCACAUGCAUCGUCGAACUACGGCAAGACUGCUAGUACAAAAACAUUGCGUUAAAAGUUGACCACUAGGGGUCUCCCUUUCACCAAAUAAACAUCAGAACAGCACAAAUAGUAUUGCUGAGUUCUUCAAGGAAAGUGGUCGAAUCCAAAGGAAUAGCUUUAAAGAGACUUUAUUUAGUAUAAAGUAUUUUCGGUAUGGUUAACUGAUACUCUGAAGCAAAGAGAGACUGAAGAUGUGUCUAAGCACGUGCGAGCGUCUCCUAGCUGAUCAAAAACAUUAACCCUUGUAUGUAUAAUAGCUGCCGAGAAGAUUCUGAAGACAUGCUCGAUCUGUAGGCUGUUAUGGUCUGAACAGCGCGGACCGGAAGUAGUGGGAGGAGCCGGUGUGACGUAACCCUCGGCUUCCUCGCCUGGUCUGUGGUGCUGCCUUCUGUGGCUAAAGUAUUUAUUGCAGCCUUCAGUAAGGUCUUGCUCCCCUUGUGGCUAUGUAUAGUAUUUACGGCUUAUGUUUGGUCCUACCCCCUAGUGGUUAAGUGGGGGAAAUACAGCUUGUGUUCUUAAAAUACGUAACAGUAUUAUUGAGACUCUCUUCUUUCACACAGGCACUGCAAAAACGGUGGAAGUUCAUUCCACACCAUGCUUGCAAUGAACAUGAAUGGACAGAUGGUGACGGAAAUCGUCAUCGGUGUGACCACACUCCUCUUACCGCCUGUGAGCAGAAGAAGAGGAUGUGGAUUGAGAAGGACUCGGUGGCAUUUCAGGACCUGUCGUCGCUGGUCCUAGACAAAAGGCUAUUGAAAGACCUCGAGAAGGUGGCCCUCUUCAAACAUACUGGGCCACUGGAGAUCUUUCAUAGUGCUCUCCUGAAAUACCUCCCCAAACGCCAGGCCUUCUCGUAUGAUGGAAUGAAGGAGAGGUGCUACCUCGCUAUCCUGGAGCACAAUGAAAACAUUGUGAAAAGGAAACAAGCCACCACAGUGACAGGAGAACCACGGUUCAAGCUGGCGUACUGCAAGAAGUCCAAACAGUGGAUAUUGAAAACCAUCUUCACGCCACACACCACCGAGUUUAUCAGACAUCUCAUCAACAGGGUCAUGGACAGAAGACAUGACCCUAACAUAACGUUAAACGUCCCAACCUCCUCACUCACCCUGGCACAACCUGCUUUGCCAGCCAACAUUGCCCCUGUACCUAAACCAACAAAGGAGGCUGCCACAACCUUGUUCAAAAGCCGCUUCUGAGACCUCAGCCCAGCACCCAAAAAUGUUUUUGUUUGGUUCCGGACCCAAAUUAUUUUAUGAGCCAAAUUAGUUUAUGCAAACUAUAAUUACGUUUUGGUACAGCACCUCUUCAUUCUGUACAAGGAUGAGCGAAUUUUCUCGUUUUCAAAUGAAAACAACCUACCUAUCAUUCGCUGGCGCUGGAAAAAAUUAAAAUAAAAAUUCCCUAUCUACCCAUGACCUCUCAACUGACAACCAACAGGAACCAAUUUUUUUUCUUUUUUAGGCCCAACUCCAUCUCAUUUACAUUUAGGGCAUUUAGCAGACGCUUUUAUCCAAAGCGACUUACAAUAAGUACAUUAAUAUAUCGCUGUCGGUACAGAAAGGAUGUUCAUAGAACCAAGUGCAAGUACCACAAUCGCUAGGUUAAUCAAUUCCCCGUAUUACAGACAUGAUGGCAGCUACUGCAGUUGCACUACAUCUCUCUCCGCUCUGCUAUUCUGUAUUCUAUUACACAGAAAAUCAAGGGUCUCGGGGCUCCUCACCCCGAGAACAGGAGUACCGAUCACUGUCGUAUGAUGGUGCUAAUAAAGUAUUGUUAAUUGAUCCAUUGACUGCUGUUGUGGUAUUCCUAGUAGGCCUAAGAGGUUUGUGCGAUUAUAAUAUAUUUAGUUUGACCCAGUUUAUUUUAAUUUGUUGUCUACCCAUGACAAACUUCAUUUGUGAAUGAGAAAUAUAAUGUAACUCCUGCUCUUGUCUGUCUACACCAAAGUUCAACAUUAUAAACUUGGAAGGAGGUAACUGAUAUGCAACUAACUCAGUGCAAUUUAGACUUAUAGAUUUAUAAAAAUGAUGAGUUACUCUGCUAUUGUUUUUUUCAAGGGAACAGCUUAGUAGCUCCACUUGUGAAAUGUUGGUCGUCCAAUAAUAUAAUUAUUUCUCGGAUAUACACUUGGAGCAACACUAAUAAGGACUUCAACAACGUGAAUUUCAACCAUUUACUUCAAGAAAUAAACAACAAAAAAAAUGUAAACAAUGAAACUCAUAGUUCCUCCUGAACGUCGUCAGCUUCUUGGUGUCCACAGUACUGGCCGUCUGGAGCAGGAUAUUUUUGUCGGAUGGUCUGCACGACGCAAGAAGGUAAAACGACCCGACAGCCUCUACCCAAUCUCACGCCUUGCAGGACCCAUUCCAAAAAGUGUCGGUAGGCGAUAUUGUCUAGAAAAAAACAUUGAGCAGACAGUUAGCGAUAGAUGGUCUCCAUGCAGUUAACAUGCCACGAUCGUAACGGAAAGAAUUUAAAAACACUCACUUUACAGUCAGACGUCCGUUCGUCCCUGCAGGCUUUGGCUGACGUUUCCAGUUUACCUUUGGGAUUCUGAAAUAAGUGUCCAGGACGCCGCUGUCCAUAUGCAAUGCGAAACUAGGAUGGUCCACAACACAUGUCCGUGUCCUCGU